rnacentral:rRNA from 1 species
GUGGGGAAUCUUGCGCAAUGGGCGAAAGCCUGACGCAGCCAUGCCGCGUGAAUGAUGAAGGUCUUAGGAUUGUAAAAUUCUUUCACCGGGGACGAUAAUGACGGUACCCGGAGAAGAAGCUCCGGCUAACUUCGUGCCAGCAGCCGCGGUAAUACGAAGGGGGCUAGCGUUGCUCGGAAUUACUGGGCGUAAAGGGCGCGUAGGCGGACAGCUUAGUCAGAGGUGAAAGCCCAGGGCUCAACCUUGGAAUUGCCUUUGAUACUGGCUGUCUUGAGUUUGGAAGAGGUGAGUGGAACUCCGAGUGUAGAGGUGAAAUUCGUAGAUAUUCGGAAGAACACCAGUGGCGAAGGCGACUCACUGGCCCAAUACUGACGCUGAGGCGCGAAAGCGUGGGGAGCAAACAGGAUUAGAAACCCGUGUAGUCC